UGGACAGGAACCUCAAACGUGUCACUGG
rnacentral:piRNA from 1 species